rnacentral:rRNA from 1 species
CCAGACUCCUACGGGAGGCAGCAGUGAGGAAUAUUGGUCAAUGGGCGGGAGCCUGAACCAGCCAAGCCGCGUGAGGGAAGAAGGUACAGCGUAUCGUAAACCUCUUUUGCCAGGGAACAAAGGCGGGGACUAGUCCCCGGAUGAGGGUACCUGAAGAAAAAGCAUCGGCUAACUCCGUGCCAGCAGCCGCGGUAAUACGGAGGAUGCGAGCGUUAUCCGGAAUUACUGGGUGUAAAGGGAGCGUAGACGGCGAGGUAAGCCUGAAGUGGAAGCCCGCGGCCCAACCGCGGAACUGCUUUGGGAACUGUUUUGCUGGAGUAUGGGAGGGGUAAGCGGAAUUCCUGGUGUAGCGGUGAAAUGCGUAGAUAUCAGGAGGAACACCGGUGGCGAAGGCGGCUUACUGGACCAUAACUGACGUUGAGGCUCGAAAGCGUGGGGAGCGAACAGGAUUAGAUACCCUGGUA